rnacentral:rRNA from 1 species
GCUACACGAGAACUUACCGAGGUUUGACAUUACAAGUGGUAGAGAAAGGCGAAACGCGGGACCGACCCUUCGGGAGCUUGUUACAGGUGCUGCAUGGCUGUUCGUCAGUCUCGUGUCGUGAGAUUGUUCGGUUAAGUCCGCUAACGAGCGCAACCCUCGCUGUGUGUUACAAGUGUCACACGGGAACUGCCGGUCAUAACGGAGAAGGUGGGAUGACGUCAAGUCAGCAUGGCCUUUAUAUCCUGGGCUACACACACGCUACAAUGGGAAGGGACAAUAGGUUGCGAAGCCGCGAGGUGGAGCCAAUCCAGCAAAACUUCCCUCAGUUCAGAUUGCAGGCUGCAACUCGCCUGCAUGAAGUUGGAGUUGCUAGUAAACGCAGGUCAGCCAUACUGCGUUGAAUACGUUCCCGGGGCUU